GCGACCUAACGUCUUGUUUUUUUCUUCUAUAAAUAUAAAAUGCCCUUCAAGAAACUGUAACACACAAUAAAUUAAAUCCUAUGGAGGCAUGGAUACAUUCUUCAGCUUCUUCAAAGUUCAAACACUUAGUUUAACAAGGGUGAGUGAUUUCCAUGCUAUGCUUGUCAAAUGAGCAGUCCUUUUUGCUGUUAACCUUUGUCUCAUUGUCUGUUCGACCUUGAAAUUAUUAGCAAGAUUCAUCAUCUAUUUACAAACCCUAGCUAGCUUAUUAGAUUAUUACUCCCUCUAAUUCAAUUUAUUUAGCGUAGUUUGACUAGUCGCAGAAUCUAAGAAAAAAGUAAAUCUUUUAGAACUUGCACUUAUCAUAAUACUUAGUACUAUUGGUUUUAGAAAAAUCACGCUCUAUGUCUACUGGGAGAAAAUAUUGGCUACCCGGUUUAUCUUAUAUUUGUGUAUAAACACCUUUUAUAUGCUAUUAUACACUUUUAUACAAGGUUGAUAUGUUAUGUAUAAUGCUUUCCCUAGGUGUAAUCUUGUAAAAUAUAAUAUAAUGUUGUACAAUAUUGUAUAAACUGAAAAUAUGGCUACAUGGCGUAAUAUUUAUGUUGGGCUAUAUGUAUUUGAAAAUUGAUUAUGAUGCCCAAGCCCACUUACGCGCACCUGGACUAUAAUUCCAAGAGAUAUCUGCUACCUUCCACCAGCACAAAUACCGGGUAACUCAAUUCAACUUUGCCUGGUAGAUGGAAGAAAUCACCGUGUGCUUUUUCUUUCACUGGGGUUUGGACCUGAAACCUCAUGUUCUCAAUACAUAUGUCAUGAUAUUUGAGUAUAAGAAUUUGUCAUUAAAAUAAAAGAAUUUUUUCAAAUUAAAUUGUUUUCAAAAUAUAAAAAUGUGAACUACUUAAUAACGAACUGCGUUCUCAAGGGGGUCCCUCCCUACCUUCCACGUAUGACACCUAUUCCUAUUCCGAUAUAGGAGACGAACCCUAAAAGGGAGUUAGGUAUGUAUCUUUAACUUUCUUCACUUUAGUUUGGAUUUCAAGUUGUAGCCAAAAAGUUGUAAAUCUAUGAACACAAGCAUUGAUCAGAGUCGAGUAAUAGGUGUAAGUAGUGUGUGCACCUAUUAAUGUUGACAUGCUACUAAAUUUUGAGGAGGGAUAAUGAAAUGAGUCCAUUCUUUUUCCUAUGCUAGCUUAUUUAUGAACUAAUAAUCCUACCCUAACAAGAAACUGAACCAAUCAAUGAGACCAUUAUUAGCACAAAAAUAACACAAGUAAUAGGAAAGUCGUUGUAAUUUUAAAAGCACCUUCACUUGAUAAACGAUAUAAUAAAGAUGUAGUUACGGUACAAGCUAGCUCCUAGAAGUGUGUGUGUAUGACUCAUGAGUUAGCUGUAAGGAAAAAGAAUCAUCAGAUUUCAUGCAUGUGGUCUUGUAACCUUAUGGUUUAUAUAAGGGAAAAUGACCUAAUAAUACCUAUUUAAGACUCUAUAUAAAGAAUCUUAGAAUCACCUUCCUCCCACCAACCUUUUUAGCGCCCUCUUGUUUAGCUGGCCUGUCUUAUUUACAAGUAAUUAAUAUUAAUGUUUGCUGAUGAUUACCUGUAAUUAUUAUUUAAGUAAUUAACCUGAUAGUAUAAAAUCCGUUUGCACCGUUAGUAUAUAUUUUACAAAGAAAAUUAAACAGAAAUAGGAAUUAUUAGAAAAUAGUAGUACUCCUAGUUGAUGUUUUUCUUUAAGGUCGACCAGACAAUGAAUCUAAGGUAAAAAAUGAGCAAAGAGACUGCUAAUUUGUCAAGGUUUGCACUGAAAUCAACAGCAAUGCUCAAAGCUCACAAUUACCAGAAACAUAUGGAAGUUGGAAUUUACAGUUGGCCCUGCAAUGACUCCAUCAACAAAAACAAGUUUUUCAUCUAUCUCUUUCUCUCCAUCGAAAUAUUUUUACCAGUUGUAGCAGGUAUUUGUCGAAUUCUCUAGUUACUAAACUUUUUUCACUUAUUUAUGAAUAAUUAUCUGUAGUUAUUUUUAAUGUGACAUGUCAGUGUAGAGAUCCAGACAUUCAGUGUAGCGAAUUGAACUCAUAUAUCUCCAGUCUUCUGGACAUUCUUUAUGUACGUGGGACAUAUUAAAUGAUCAAAACAUUGACAUGAAUUAUAUUGCAGAUAAUUAAGAAGCAACUCAUGAUUUAAGAAAGUACUUACUAGUAAUUGGUUUGUUUUUGUGUGAUUUAAGGUUCGGUAAAUUGACACUUGGAAUGUCGAAUGACUACACUGCCGGUUAGGUUCCUCCCUCAUUCCACAGUUAUUUUGGUGAGCUUCACUUCAUGUUCGUGGUGACAAAUUGUAGUAUCAUUCUUUUAAAUAGGUAUAGUCAUUGGGUUCUUUGUUGAGUUGAACAAUCUUUCUUUAAAAAAAAAAAAAAAGGCAUAGUCGGAACCAUGUCACCGGUAUGCUUUAUUCAUGAUGUCAUAGCGACGACUCCAUAGACGUUGUGGGUCUAGUAUAUGUCCUUUUGUGAUUACAUUGAAGUCUCAAUGCAAUAUAUAUAUUUUUUAAUUAUAAGCCAUCACCCAGGAGGGGGUCCUGUGGUAUUCGGGGUUUUGGUUUGACCCCUACUACGUAUAUAGAAGGUAAAAAUGACAAAAGAAAGGGCGCAUGUACCUGAACAAGACUGGAAAUCUCAUUAUAGCCUUUUGUAAAUACUAUGGCACCCAUACCAAUAUCUAUGCUGAAGCCAGAGCUCGGCUUUCUGGGAUUAAUUGAUGUAUCCAAUAUCAAUUUCUAAAUGUGCAAAUUGAGUCAGACUCUAUGUUGAUUGUCAACAUGGUUAAGGGACACUUGAGUACAGGGAUCUUUAUGAUAUUAUAAAAAAACAUUAGAUGUUUGAUGGAACGAGGAAAUUUCGUCAUUAACCAUUUUUACAGGGAAGCUAACAAGGUAGCUGAUAAUUUGGCCAACAUGGGAGUUACCACGAUGCAGAACUCAGUCUUCAAUACAACAGUCUCCUUGCCAAGGCAUGUUAGUGCUACAUUGAAGAUGGAUAAGCUAAACAUACCUGCAUUCGGAAUGCGACCAAAAAAGUGCAGCUUCAACUUUGAUGGUGGAUAGCCUCGUGCUUGACUUUCUAAAGGAGUCCUUCCUAGUUUAUUUCCUCAGACUGUAUAGUCUGCUCUUUUAUUUCCUUGUUUACGGAGUAGUAUCAGUAACAAAGGACUCCCUAGCAUAUAUGGAGAAUUUGUCAUCUCCUACAUAGGAAGGAGAGAUCAGGUCCUAAUUAAAGUCCCAGUCUCCCAUGCAACAAGUUUUUGCCGACUUCAUCAAUAUACGGGUAGGGGUCUUGCCAAACACCCCCCCUCCCCACCUUCACCCCAAGGAGAAUUUUGGUUGGGGGGGGGGGGGGGGGAAGUUGAGAUUCAAGCUCUAGCCAAAUUUUGGUGUGGCCCUGUUGGACACCACUCAAGACCAAAUUUCCAAAUUUAACAAUUGUAGCCUUUACUUCCAUAUAUGAAUAACUAUUUUGAUUAUUUACGCCUUUUAGUGUUACAUAUGUGAGAGAGGAUAUUAGAAUCUUUCUUGUAUAAUGAAAUCAUACGUAUAUCGGUUGUAAAUUUUUUCGAGGCCAUUGGAGAACUUUUGUUGA